rnacentral:rRNA from 1 species
CCUAGGGUGGCAGCAGUGGGGAAUAUUACACAAUGGGCGCAAGCCUGAUGCAGCCAUGCCGCGUGUGUGAAGAAGGCCUUCGGGUUGUAAAGCACUUUCAGCGGGGAGGAAGGCGGUGAGGUUAAUAACCUCAUCGAUUGACGUUACCCGCAGAAGAAGCACCGGCAACUCCGUGCCAGCAGCCGCGGUAAUACGGAGGGUGCAAGCGUUAAUCGGAAUUACUGGGCGUAAAGCGCACGCAGGCGGUCUGUCAAGUCGGAUGUGAAAUCCCCGGGCUCAACCUGGGAACUGCAUUCGAAACUGGCAGGCUAGAGUCUUGUAGAGGGGGGUAGAAUUCCAGGUGUAGCGGUGAAAUGCGUAGAGAUCUGGAGGAAUACCGGUGGCGAAGGCGGCCCCCUGGACAAAGACUGACGCUCAGGUGCGAAAGCGUGGGGAGCAAACAGGAUUAGAUACCCGAGUAGUC